AAAUUGAAGAGUUUGAUCAUGGCUCAGAUUGAACGCUGGCGGCAGGCCUAACACAUGCAAGUCGAACGGUAACAGGAAGCAGCUUGCUGCUUCGCUGACGAGUGGCGGACGGGUGAGUAAUGUCUGGGAAGCUGCCUGAUGGAGGGGGAUAACUACUGGAAACGGUGGCUAAUACCGCAUAACGUCGCAAGACCAAAGAGGGGGACCUUCGGGCCUCUUGCCAUCAGAUGUGCCCAGAUGGGAUUAGCU
rnacentral:rRNA from 3 species